AUCCUAAGAAGAGGUCUAUAAAUUUGUACACAAUAAUUUUUUGUGGCUACUCAAAUUUUCAUAAUUAAUCUAGAUUUAAAAUCAAGGAAUAUUCUUACUUGUAGUUGGCAAUCAAUAUGACAUGCCAAAAUUAUAUGUAAGUAUUUUAUUGUUGGUGAGGAUAUAAGAAAUUUACCAUCAAAAGAGAGACGAUAAUCUAUGCUUGCAGACUCCGGAAAGCUGCCUCUCACAUAAGAAUUUGCAAUUUCUGGGGGAAAAGAAAAAGUUGAUUGUGCAAAUAAACAUUACCAUGGAGUCUUCUCUAUGGCAACAUCAAAAAUGAAAGCUAAUUCUCAUCUUCCUAACAAUCUGCAAAGACGAGUGAAACACAACCUACUGAGCAUCAAGUUAAAGAAGGAGAGAAAUUUGAGUGGCACAGGAGGAAAUCAUGUCACCGCUAGCGAAAUCAAUAUGACGAGUGCUCCUCUGUCCUCCUCCGAGGCUAAGGAUGGGUUAAAUAUCAGUGGCUGACCUCAGGUAAUGGAAUGAGCAAAAAAGCUAUAAAAAUGCAUGCAUUACGUAAUUAAGAGGGUGGGAAGGGAUUUUUUUUAAAAAGGCAAUUCCUACUUGGGUUCCUUCCUGUUCACCCCAUUGGCAAAGAAGCUAGUCUUGCCCUAGAAUUCUGGGAAUGGCUGCAGACAAAACAAACACUGAGCAGACGAAAUUCCCAGUAAUUUAAACAAAACUCAUGAUAUCCUUGUGUACAAGAUGGAAGAAGAGUGGACCAGAUGACAAUAUUUAGAUGGAGUCAUUCUUAACCCCCGUUGCUCUCCCAGUGAUCUAGCUGGGGUUUGUAUAAAGUGGAAUGGGAGGAAUAGGGAAGAAGCCCCCACCUACCCUCUCCCCUUGUCCACUUGUCCUCCUUCACUAGUGGAUAAAGUCCACGGGAACAGGCAAGUUAUUUUAAAUCUGUAUCUUCUGUUGUCAAGAUCUGUAAUCAGUUCUGCUCGCUGGACUGGGGACAGGAACCAAGGGAACAUGAGGGUGAACGGGUUGACAUGGAGUCCAGGAACACACUGUGCCUACAUGCAGAAUGUUUGUGCCAGGAAAGCCAGUCAGCAGGCAGAUGGUCUCAGAUACCAAGCUAGUGUUGGGAAGCAAGAUUCAGUCUCUUGAAGGCGGUGUUCCUCAUUCUGUGGUUUGUAUCACUUGCUUCAGAAUGACCUGGAGUACUUGUUAAAAUGCAAAUUUUGAGCCCAAUCCUAGACCUCCUAAGCCUACAUCUCUACGGAUGGGUCUCAGUAGUCGAUAUUGGAAACGUGCGGGUCCCUAGGAGAUGCUUAUGCAUAUAGAUUUGAACUGUUGUGUUUAAGGGUUAGGGAGCUGGCAAAAGCAAGGAAUAGACCAAGCCCUCGGGUGGGAAGGCUCCAUAACCUUGGCACUGUUAGCAUUCUGGGCGGAACAGGAUUCUGCCACAUGCUUCGCAGCAUCCCUAGCCUCUACUCUCUAACACCGUAUUCCAGUUGUGAAAACAAAAAUGUCCCGUGGGAGGCAAAAUAGUCACCAGUUGGGAACUGGAACCACUGCUUUGUGAGAUCAGAGUGGUUACUUUGUUCCCAAUCCAGGGAUCAGAACACACGAUGAGAGAAAGUCCAGCUAUUGGAACUGGAGUGCCAAGUUGGAGCUAGACCUACAACAAAAGCUCCAAAAGCUCCUUUAUAGAGCUUGAUCCCAUGCCUCAGCUACCUAGCUUGUACAGAUGCCAUGUAACUCUAGAUUUGGUGACAGAAGGAAUUUAAAGG
rnacentral:lncRNA from 10 species